rnacentral:rRNA from 1 species
CCUACGGGUGGCUGCAGUGGGGAAUAUUGGACAAUGGGGGGAACCCUGAUCCAGCCAUGCCGCGGGGGUGAAGAAGGCCCCCGGGUUGUAAAGAACUUUAAGGGAGGAAGAACGCUGGGGGGUAAAUCCCCUCCGGGAAAGACAUCACUCACAGAAGAGGCACCGGCUAACUCCGUGCCAGCAGCCGCGGUAAUACGGAGGGUGCGAGCGUUAAUCGGAAUUACUGGGCGUAAAGCGCGCGUAGGUGGCUUGAUAAGCCGGUUGUGAAAGCCCCGGGCUCAACCUGGGAACGGCAUCCGGAACUGUCAAGCUAGAGUGCAGGAGAGGAAGGUAGAAUUCCCGGUGUAGCGGUGAAAUGCGUAGAGAUCGGGAGGAAUACCAGUGGCGAAGGCGGCCUUCUGGACUGACACUGACACUGAGGUGCGAAAGCGUGGGUAGCAAACAGGAUUAGAUACCCUGUAGUC